AUGGAGGAGCUUAGGCUCGGCGGCGGCGGCGGCAGGGGGAAGCCGCCGAUCCCGUCGUCGGCCUCGGCGAGGAAGUCGGUGCUCUCACGGCACGCAUCCUUUGCGAGGGGCCCUUUGAGCAGUACAAAAUCUGAAACAGAGAGAACUUUUGAAAGCACAGAUGUUGAAUAUAUCCCAGUUGUACGGUCUGGAGGCUGGGCUGACAUUGGGUCAAGGAGCUCAAUGGAGGAUGUCUACAUUUGCUGUGACAACUUCCUGCAAGAUUUUGGACCUGAAAACUGUGAAGAAGGGCCCAGUUCAUUUUAUGGGGUUUUUGAUGGGCAUGGUGGAAAGCACGCUGCAGACUUUGUGUGCAGCAAUUUGCCAAGGUUCAUCGUUGAGGGUGAUGGUUUUCCGGGGGAGAUCGAGAAAGCUGUCUCCUCAGCAUUCUUACAGACUGAUGCUGCUUUUGCAGAUGCUUGCUCUGUGAACUCCUCUCUUGCAUCUGGCACGACUGCGCUUGCUGCUCUCAUCAUCGGGAGGUCACUUCUGGUGGCAAAUGCUGGUGAUUGUCGAGCAGUUGUAUGUUGCCGUGGAAAGGCGGUUGAGAUGUCCAGGGACCAUAAGCCAUCUUGCAACAGAGAGAAGAUGCGCAUUGAAGCCUCGGGUGGUUAUGUUUACGAUGGAUACCUGAAUGGGCUGCUGAAUGUUGCUAGAGCAAUUGGGGACUGGCACAUGGAAGGAAUGAAAGCAUGUGAUGGUCUUGGGCCUCUUAGUGCGGAGCCGGAGGUGAUGAUGCGGAAUCUUACUGAGGAGGACGAAUUCCUGAUCAUCGGCUGCGACGGGAUCUGGGAUGUAUUCCGCAGCCAAAAUGCGGUAGACUUUGCACGCAGGAGGCUUCAAGAGCACAAUGACCCUGUCGCCUGCUGUAAAGAGUUGGUCGAUGAGGCCAUCAAGAGGAAGAGCGGCGACAACCUUUCCGUAGUUGUCGUCUGCUUCAACUCCAUAGCGCCUCCUGUCUUAACAGCUCCCAGGCCUCGCGUGCAGAGAAGUAUAUCCGCAGAAGGCUUGAGGGAGCUGCAGGGCUUCCUCGAUAGCUUGGCGGACUGA
rnacentral:rRNA from 1 species